UUCUGGACCUGCUCAGAGGUCGAUAUAGACACUGUGAAAUACUCUGUUGGUGACUGUUUCAUCUUGGAUUUGUACCAGGAUGAAAUUCCUCUGUUUGUAAAGGUGACCCAGAUUGUGAACGCAAGAGCAACUUGGUUUAUUGUUGCUGAAUUCCUCACAACCUUGGCCUUUGACACCCAUCUUCAUGCUUAUCAAGUGAGCCCAACAGCAAAUCAGAUUGUGUUUAAGCCUGGUGAAAAGUUGGACUACCACAGGCUGGACUGCUAUGAACUAUCUGGCAGACAGUUUAUUACUCUUUUCCAUCGGCCGUACAAAGCAAUUGCCUAGUGGUGAGAAAAUGAAGUUGAUGGCCUUACACUCACAAAAAUGACAGAACGUAUGAGUGAGAGAAUGUUUCCGAAGAUGAAGGACCAGGUUCAGUUCAUGGCUGCUCUAGAUAAAUUGAAGUUGGGAGACAGCCAUGAUGCUGAAGUGAGAGCGGAGACGCCAGUGAUGCCAGUUUCACCAGUUUCGCCAGUUUCCUUUGAUGUCAUCCUCCCACCUUUUCUCAAUAGUGCUUUAAGUUCACAGGAUCCACAGUUCAAGUCUCAGGGGAAGAACAAACUGAAAAAUGCCCUCAUUCAGGCUUUGUUUGACCACCUCAGUCAAAAAACCAUGUAUCCCUCUCACACUCAAUAUGUUCUUACAUUGAGAUCAACCUUGAUUCGCUUCCCUUUUCUCAGGGAGAAAUAUGGCUCUGGAUACGAUGCCUUGCUCGAAUCACUUAGAAACAAAUUUAAGAAAGAAAGAAGACCACUAGUGAACUUGGAAGAAGUUUU